rnacentral:rRNA from 1 species
CCUACGGGAGGCAGCAGUGGGGGAUAUUGCACAAUGGGGGAAACCCUGAUGCAGCGACGCCGCGUGGGCGAAGAAGUAUUUCGGUAUGUAAAGCCCUAUCAGCAGGGGAGAAGAAAUGACGGUACCUGAGUAAGAAGCACCGGCUAAAUACGUGCCAGCAGCCGCGGUAAUACGUAUGGUGCAAGCGUUAUCCGGAUUUACUGGGUGUAAAGGGAGCGCAGGCGGCACGGCAAGCCUGAUGUGAAAGCCCGCGGCCCAACCGCGGGACUGCAUUGGGAACUACCGGGCUGGAGUGCCGGAGAGGUAGGCGGAAUUCAUAGUGUAGCGGUGAAAUGCGUAGAUAUUAGGAGGAACACCAGUGGCGAAGGCAGCCUACUGGACGGUGACUGACGCUGAGGCUCGAAAGCGUGGGGAGCAAACAGGAUUAGAUACCCCUGUAGUC